CCUUACUUCCUUCCCUUCCCUCGGCUUCCCGCUCUUGCCUCACUCUCAGCGGCUGCCUUCGCCCCUGUCUGCAGACAGCGCCGCUGGAUGCUCCCAGCUGGACUUCAACCCCACUCCUCUCAGUCCCUCUCCCCACUGCCUUCCAGACGCGCCUCUUCCCCGCCCCGCGCCCCUCUCUCCUCUCCCACCCCUGCCCCUCUCCGCGGCGCUCACCCUCCUCAGUCCCAGUUUCUGAAAGGACUCAGCUGAGAAAGGACAACUGGGUUCCGCUUUCCUUAACCCUACACCCUUUAGCUGGAUGCUGUCAGAGGCGAUGGAGAAACGCAAAGGCUACUAGACGCAACAAUAGAAUUACCAUAUUGUUUUUCCUGGUUUGAAAGGACCAGAUGGAAAGAAACUGGGCAAGCCAAUGAAAGUCUCUGGGGAUCAUGGGAAUUGAGUGUCUAUGAAAACCAUAUUCCAGACAAGAAUAUAGUCUAAGGACACAGCAAGAGGCAACAUUUUGGAAGCAGAGGGCAACUCUCACUGGAAACCAAAUCUCCUGGCACCUUGAUCUUGGAUUUUACAGCCUCCAGAACUGAUAGCUGGGAGGCAUUACAUAGUCAUGUGCGAGGUCAAAACUGAGUCACCACCACAACCAAGUUCCAGCUGGCAAGAAGAGGAAAAAUAACACAGAGGAGUUAUGACCAGUGUUGUAAGGAUCUGGCCUAGAAAUGGCAUGCAUCUCUUCCACUAAUCCUUAAAAUAAAUCAGAAUGAGUCACUUUUCCGUGUUACCAGAAGA
rnacentral:lncRNA from 10 species